UUUCUUUUGUCUGACAAGAUUUGAAAAGAAAAAAUGCUCAAAAGUAUGGUGGAGCAAUGAUCUUGACUUGGAUAUUUUGGAAAAGUCAAUACAUAAUAUAUGUUCAUUUGAGAAAAAAAAAACACAUUCCCCUGCUCCCUCUACUCUUUCUUCUUCGAGAUGAAGAAAACCCUAACUUCAAAACACUAGUCACCAGCUUCACUUUCUGUUUCCCUCUCUCGUGACCGAGCAGCGGCGAUCGGAGAAGCUCCGAUGAACACCCACCUAAACCCACCUCCUCUCUUUCACACUCUUACACUGUAACCCCUCUCUCCCCCUCGCGACAGACCGGCAGCGACGAGAUCUCCGACAAACCCACAUCCACUCUGUCUCGUUUUCUCCGACACCGACACCGGCAACGACACCCCCCCACUGUCUCUUGCAACUCCGACGACCAGAGUAUACGUCAGCCAUUAAUCGGAGAGGUGACUAUGAUGAUGAUGAUACGAUCACGAUGAUCAUGAUAGGCUGAUGUUGGUGAUAGAUUGAUAUGAUAACAGAGAUGUUGGUGGCGGAUCGGAGGCGCCGACGACUGUGAGGCGCCGUUUUUCCGGUGAGUUUCUUUUUUUUAUAGUUUAUUUAGUUAUUUUUCCUUCACCUCCGGGUAUAGCGUCUCGACUGAUGUGCAUUUUGUAUGAUGAUGACGAUGUUACGUCUUUGAGGGUGUUAUGGCAGAAAACGCCGCCGCCGGCGGUGGUCGAGCCGGCCAACAACAGUAGUAGGCGUGGUGGCCAAAGUCAGAUUUCAGCUCAGGCUUCAGCUCACCACGGUGCAAUUCAGGUCAGUUCCGAGUUUUGGUUUGGGCCUCGGUCAAAAUAGGUCAACUGUUAGUCAACAGGUCAACACCAGUCAAACAUCAUCUCGGGUCACUUUCAAGCAUGCGGUUUAGUUUGGUUCGGGUUCGGUUCACUUCAAAUUUGUUUCGGUUCAACCGAUCCAGAUUCGGUUCAGUCAACACGGGUCUAGGUUCGAGUCAACUCAAUCAAACGGGGUGACCCGGUCAACACUCGGUCAACAGCAGUCAACGCCCGGUCAACUCACGAGACCCGGAAUACUAUAGAUGCACGCUAGCUAAUUCACGUUCUUGGAACGGCACUACGGAAUCACACUAAGCUAGCUUUGCACAGGAAUAUCCAGGUUAAAUUUUUCAAACUACUGAACGGUUGGAAUAGGAGAACCCAUGGGAUUUCGAGCACUUAACAGGCGUUCAAUUUCUAGGAGUCUUAGCAUUAUUAGCUUCCGCUGUGCAAUGAAGAUACCGGUCCAGUCACGCCAGCUCUGAUAUUUCGGGGUGUGAAAGAUUGGUAUCAGAGCUAUAGGUUUCAGCGAAUUAGGUUUCUGUAGAGAUACCUAGGCUUUAACCUCACUUUUCUCUGGGGACUUAGAUUAUUAAGGCUUUGAAUACAUAUAGAACGCCUAGGACUCGAAUAUGGGUUCCAACCGUUGCCGAAACAAUGAGCAAACGUUUUGGUUUUAAAAAUACACAAGUGUUGUGUUUGAUACACGGUAUUACACACAGUAAGCGAAACCUUGAGGGUUUUGAUGACAUGCAUUUAGGACCUUCGGAAAACUUAUGUCGAAACUCAUUAAAGGUCCUCACGUAGGAGUCGUGAUUAUUAACUCGAGCACAUGCCAUUAUAUUACGUCGUCUGUGCUAUUUUAAUUACCCGAGUAGGUAACCUACGUGGAACGAAAUGCUGUUACACAACUAUACGUGAAACUUAAACUAUACGUCAGCGGACGUCGAAGUACAUCACACACAAUUUUCGAGGCAAGGCCUUAGGGAAAACACAAAUGGGCACGACAACAACAAUGCUAAUCUCGUCAGCGGGAGAACAACAAUCGAAGUGCCAUACUUUGCCACGUGAUCAGGCAAACGACAUGAAUCAUGCCAAGGUACGUUCAAGUGAGGGCUUCGCAAACUAAUGGAAAUCACGAUUGUUGGCACCGCAACGGAAACUACAAGUCUUCACAUCUCCCCACUCCCUGAAUGGCGAUUACGCCAAGAUUGACAUUUCGUGGUAAUGUCGCUUAACAACUCAUCAUCACACGAACUUCCAGGUAAAGUCCUCAAAUUUCUUUUAUUGAAAUUCUGAAGUUUUGCAUAUAGUGAGUAGAUUUUUGCAUUUCUACUCCCCCUAAUGAUCAUUGCAUCACGAAAAUUCUCUUUCAUAAUAGCGAAUACUCACUUGCUUCAUUCUUGACGAAUUCAUAUGUUACACAUGCGUUGUUUGUUACGCAUGUGGCUUCACUUGAAACUGUUGCUUUAUCAAGUUCAAAUAUUAUUUAGCUAUACUCACUCCUUGCAUUGUGAUCUAGAUAAACCGCAUUAUUGCAUAAUGUUGACUCUUUGAUAUCGAGUCAACGAAACUCGUUGAAACUCCUUUUUUUCAAGCCACAUACAUGGUUUUCGUUGUAACCAUGUCGAAACCUUCUAGUUUAUACAUGUAUCCAUUGUUGGAUUGUGUUUAAACCAAGUUCAAUUGUUUGAACUUGCUCGUAAUAUACAUUCAAUUCAAGCUUCCAUAUGAUGGAUUGAAGCCAUCAUAUUCAACUUAUUCCCAACAAGCACUUCAUUUGUUUUGAAUUGUAACAAGCUUAUUUGGUCUUUAACUUAUUUAAAUCGUUUCUUUGAUCACGAUCACCUUGUGGUGGCGUCUUUCACAAGUUUGAAGCUUGCGCUAAUCUCGUUGCUCACAUCAUGUACGGAUUUAAUUAUUUAUUUAUUUGUUUGCUGAUAUUAAAUCCGCUUUGUUGGUUUAUCAUAUUAAAACAAUCUUAACACAAUCGUGUGUUAAGAUAAUGGUACACAAAUUUAUGUCAUAUUCUGGUGUACUUCUUAACGGUUCAUUCAUCAUUGAUCGAACAUUUUGCGAUAUUUAGCGCUCUUUCAUCUUCGAUCGAAAAACAUUAUUUAUUAAUUUCAUUAUCAAUAUAAAAUCAUAUGGGAUUUGUUUGGAACAAACAUUCACAUCUACCUCGUUGAACCUUCAUUUGGUUUAAACAUGGUGAUACUUGUUUGAUCACCGCUAUUAUUGAAUUAUUUCAUUCACUACGACACCUUGUGGUGUCGGUAAAACUUGUAGCUUGUGCUAAUCACUAUCGGUCGUUUCAUGCGAAACUAUAUAUGCUUUUCGUCUGACACUUCGUUUAAGUAGUCUUAAGGCAACUAUGUAUUAAGACGAUGAUACACCAGGUUCGGUUGUAUUUCAUUUCGGUGUAUCCCUGCAACUCAACAAUGACAACACGUUGAUUUUAUCUUAUUCAUUUAUUGGUUCAUUAGUUGACAAAUCAUUUCAUGAUACUAUCCAUUUGUGCUUGUUGAUUCAAGUUUCAAUCAUACCACAACCAACGCAAGUUUCCGUUGGUAGAAAUUUCGAUUGUUCCAAAAUUGAUUUACAUAUUAUGAACGUUCAUUUGGAAUUCUAUUGGUCGAGAUUCCUCUUUUGUUGGACCCCCGUAAACAUAUUCACAUUGGUGAUAGUAUCACUACGCUUCGUUCACUCGACAUCGAUUUCUGGAACAAACUCAGUUGAACCGUUGGGUUCUUAUUGAUGCAAAAUGUCCUAACACUCAUGUAAUCUGAAUAAGUCUUGAUUUGAUUACGCGGUCAUUCAUUUUGGUAUUAUUCAGACUUACCUGUGAACAACACAACUCUAAGGAGAUAACAUAGACUAAAUUUCGAGGACGAAAUUUCUGUAACAGGGGGAGAAUGUGACAACCGAAAAAUUUUCAGGUUAUUCCGUACGAUCUAAUCACUGUUUAUUUAAAUAAUUACGUGCAUUUAGACUUGAUUAUGUAUUCACUGAGUCCAUAAAGUCUAGCAUUGUCUGGGGAUAUGCAUGGGUUAUUGCAUUCGGUAUCGUCUUAUCGCGAAAUGAUAAGUGUAUAUAUAU